rnacentral:pre_miRNA from 1 species
CUUGCGGGGGGUGUCCCUCAGCCCAGAUUGCGAGAGGGUGAAGGCCAGGCUGAGGGACCCCACUGGUGCACG